UACGGAGGGUGCAAGCGUUAUCCGGAUUCACUGGGUUUAAAGGGUGCGUAGGUGGGUUGGUAAGUCCGUGGUGAAAUCCCCAAGCUUAACUUGGGAACUGCCGUGGAUACUAUCAAUCUUGAAUAUCGUUGAGGUAAGCGGAAUAUGUCAUGUAGCGGUGAAAUGCUUAGAUAUGCCAUAGAACACCGAUAGCGGAGGCAGCUUACUAAGCGAUCAUUGACACUGAGGCACGAAAGCGUGGGGAGCAAACAGG
rnacentral:rRNA from 1 species